rnacentral:rRNA from 1 species
UACGUAGGGGGCGAGCGUUAUCCGGAAUUACUGGGUGUAAAGGGAGCGUAGACGGCGAAGUAAGCCUGAAGUGGAAGCCCGCGGCCCAACCGCGGAACUGCUUUGGGAACUGCUUAGCUGGAGUAUGGGAGGGGUAAGCGGAAUUCCUGGUGUAGCGGUGAAAUGCGUAGAUAUCAGGAGGAACACCGGUGGCGAAGGCGGCUUACUGGACCAUGACUGACGUUGAGGCUCAAAAGCGUGGGGAGCGAACAGG